AUGGGAACUACUGUUGAUCGUUCUGUAAAUGAUGGUAAUGGUCCGAAGAUAUACAAAAUAAACGGGCAGGUUUGUCAUCGAAUGGGAUCUCUGAUGCCUAAGGAAGGAAAUAUCCCCAAGUAUGCCGAACUUUAUAUAUAUGAUACCCAGAAUGAGGUGCAAAACAGGAUUCAGGCUUUAGAAAAGGGUGAAAAGAGUGAUGGUGGUUUAGAUGAAUCUAUUGUUGAAGGCUUGACGCAUAUGCUUGAUACGCACAAUUCUUAUGUCAAAACGUCUAGAUCAGCUAGAGAAAUACUAGCAGCCAAUAGGCAUGCCGAGAUAGCCAUUCAUUUAGUUGCCCCUGGAGAAUCUAAUGGCCCACAGUUUAGCCUCCCUACAACUGAUGAGUUAGCAUCUUUAAUGUUUGGUGAGUUCACGGUGGAGGCUUCUUGUCGUGACAUUAUAAUACCCGGUAGAGAUGACAAUCUGCAGCAAAUAUCUUCUUUGCAAACUUCAUACAUGCCUUUGCAGUAUCCUCUUCUCUUUCCCUAUGCAGAACGUGGGUUUCAGCUCGGGCUUAAAUAUAUUGGUUCAAAUCCUUUAGAUACUAGCAAAAGAACCAGGCUCACUAUGCAGGACUAUUAUUCCUAUUGUAUCCACUAUAGACCAGAGUAG
rnacentral:rRNA from 1 species